GUGCCAGCAGCCGCGGUAAUACAGAGGGUGCAAGCGUUAAUCGGAUUUACUGGGCGUAAAGCGUGCGUAGGCGGUUUGCUAAGUCGGUUGUGAAAGCCCUGGGCUUAACCUGGGAAUUGCAGUCGAUACUGGCAGGCUAGAGAACGGUAGAGGGAGGCGGAACUCCAGGUGUAGCGGUGAAAUGCGUAGAUAUCUGGAAGAACACCGAUGGCGAAGGCAACCUCCUGGGCCUGUUCUGACGCUGAGGCACGAAAGCGUGGGUAGCAAACAGGAUUAGAUACCCUGGUAGUCC
rnacentral:rRNA from 1 species